CCUCUCAGAUUAAUGGCCUCUUUUUUAUUAUUAUUGUAUAUAUAUAUGUGUGUGUGUGUAUAUAUAUAUAUAUCAACACCAUUGUGCAUACAUAUAUUC
ensembl:miRNA Gm26238 predicted gene, 26238